AGAGUUUGAUCCUGGCUCAGGACGAACGCUGGCGGCGUGCUUAACACAUGCAAGUCGAACGGUGAAGCCCUUCGGGGUGGAUCAGUGGCGAACGGGUGAGUAACACGUGGGAAAUCUGCCCUGCAUUCUGGGACAAGCCUUGGAAACGAGGUCUAAUACCGGAUACGACGCAUCUCCGCAUGGGGUGUGCGUGGAAAGCUCCGGCGAUGCAGGAUGAUCCCGCGGUCUAUCAGCUUGUUGGUGGGGUAAUGGCCUACCAAGGCGACGACGGGUAGCCGGCCUGAGAGGGCGACCGGCCACACUGGGACUGAGACACGGCCCAGACUCCUACGGGAGGCAGCAGUGGGGAAUAUUGCACAAUGGGCGAAAGCCUGAUGCAGCGACGCCGCGUGAGGGAUGACGGCCUUCGGGUUGUAAACCUCUUUCAGCAAGGAAGAAGCGCAAGUGACGGUACCUGCAGAAGAAGCACCGGCUAACUACGUGCCAGCAGCCGCGGUAAUACGUAGGGUGCGAGCGUUGUCCGGAAUUAUUGGGCGUAAAGAGCUCGUAGGCGGCUUGUCACGUCGGAUGUGAAAGCCCGGGGCUUAACUCCGGGUCUGCAUUCGAUACGGGCAGGCUAGAGUGUGGUAGGGGAGAUCGGAAUUCCUGGUGUAGCGGUGAAAUGCGCAGAUAUCAGGAGGAACACCGGUGGCGAAGGCGGAUCUCUGGGCCAUUACUGACGCUGAGGAGCGAAAGCGUGGGGAGCGAACAGGAUUAGAUACCCUGGUAGUCCACGCCGUAAACGUUGGGAACUAGGUGUGGGUCACAUUCCACGUGGUCCGUGCCGCAGCUAACGCAUUAAGUUCCCCGCCUGGGGAGUACGGCCGCAAGGCUAAAACUCAAAGGAAUUGACGG
rnacentral:rRNA from 1 species